AGGUGGGGGUCGAAGGGGAGGAAAGUCCAUCCCGGGUUUUCGGACCGGCCUCCGGUGCGCUUGGGCAGGUUGCAGCGGCCGGUCCCGGGCGGCGGCUCCGGGCCGGGUUUUGCGCGUGCCCGCCGCCCCCCUCCCGGAGCGGGUGCGCCUGGGAGAGGGGCGAGCAGGCGGCUUGUCAUUGCUGGUGCCCGGCGCCCGCUCGGUCCGCGCGUCCUGCGGUGCCCACGGGCCCGGCCCGGCGCCCCCCCAUCCGGCCACCCCGGGGGCGCGACGCCGCCGCGCCCGCCUACAACCGCGCCACCCACCAACAAGCUCCGCGCCGCCCGCCCCCUACCCGAGCCCCCCGUGGCCACUGCGGGGAGCCCGAGCCGUCGGCGCGGGAGUUGUCGGCGCUGCGGCGCCCCCGCCCCGCCGUCUGCCGAGGAGGCCCCGGCGAAUGGGGCCGCGUGGGCCCCGGAGCGGCGCCGCCGGGCGGCGGGGGGCUGCAGGGGCUUCCUAGCUGCCCCGUUAACCCCUCGGCUACCGCCGUCGGAGGGGGCUGGGAAGUCGCCUGGGCGCACACGUGCCGCCUCCGUCGGGGCCGCGGAGCUGCGGGGAAGAUGCGGGCAGCUGUUGGCGCCGCCUCGGGGGGCUCCGCCUCGCCCCAGCCCCCGGAGCUCUGACGCCGCCCCCGCCCCGCCGCCUCCGCCGCCUCCCUCUCCGGGAGGGGCGCGGACGCUCGCCCCCAGCCCCGAGUCUCUGCCGCCGCGAGGGGGCCGCCUUUGGAGCUGUGUAAUCCGCUUCUUUUUUUUUUUUUUUUUUCCUAAUUUUUGGUUGGUGACAGCGGUUCUGGGCCCCGCCACCCCUCGCCCGAUUUCCCCCCUAUCCCGGCUCCGGGAGAUGUGCCGGGCGGGGGUCCUGGGUUCGCGGAGCCGCAGGAGAGACGCGCAAGGCCGACCCCGGAGCGGCGCUGGACAGCCAGACCCAGACGUGUGACCAAGGACACACAGAAGGCUCUGAUUUCUGUGUGGGCUCCUCGCAAGGAUUCAAUUUCCAGAUGCCAGACAGUUCCCCUCCUCCAGACCCUCCAGGGAGGUGAGGAGGGGGAUGAUGCUCCUGAGAUGGGGGUUCCCUGGGUCCGGAACUGUACCUGACUGCACCAGCGCCCCUCCCAGCCCUGGGCUCAGCCACCCUGAUGAAAGAGAAAGCGGGGUCCCAGGUGGGAGGGGGGGCUGCGGAACAGAAGCCUGGGAGCAGGUCCCACCGCCCUGAGAAUCCAGGCUGCUGUGACCUGUGGUACCUGUGCUGUGAUUAGGAUGGUAACCUGGACGAGCCUGCAUGUGGCCACGUGUCCGACAGGCUGGUCGCGUGUUCAUAAGGGUCUCCUGGGUGCUAGUGUUUGUGAGUUUUGCAGAGGGGAUGUGUGUGUGUUUCCAUGUGUCAGGGGCUGUCUGUGUCUUGUGUGCACCUGCAAGUGUGUGCAUGUGUGGCUCCUGGGAGCAAAGCUGGGCAGACCUCUUCAUGAAACCCGUGAAUAUUUGCCAAGUGUCUUUUUCACUCAGCGCUGUGCUGGGGACUCCAGGGGGACAGUACCCCAGUCCUGUCCUCAGGGAGCUCACAGUCUAGUGACGCGAGCAAUUUCAGUCAAGGGGCUCCUGUCAUAAGAUUUGGGGAAAAGGCAUAUAUCUCUCCAUCCAGAACGCCCAGAGUCCCAGCUGGGGAGGGGCAGGCCCUUCAUCUUGGCACCCCGAGCAUGGGGUGUCCCAGGGUCCAGACCUUUGUGAUCUUCCCUGUCACCCCUUCCACCUCGCCCCCCUCUCCUCACUGCUCCUAGGCAUGCAGUUCAACCACAGGCCCUUUGCACUGGCGGCUCCUUCGCCUGGGCCCCUCCCCUGACAUGCAAAGCUUUUGCUCCCUCACCCACAUCGGAUGUCCUCUCCUCAGUAACCUUUAUUUACCCCAUGCAACCUGUUUAAAAUUUCAGCCUCCCACCCGCCUCCUGACUUUUCCCUAACAAGGAUGACUUUUCACACAUUCUGUAAUUUACUGAUUUAUUGUGUUUGUUGGUUUAUUGUCUGUCUUCCCCGACCAGGACCCAAGCUCUUGGGGAAUUUGUUCCUGGUUUGCUUUUGGACGCCAGGUGCCUAGACUCAGGCCGGGCUCACAGUAGGCGCUUGAGAACUCUUAGCUGAGUGAAUGGAGGAGGGGGUCACCUCUCAAAGGACAGAGGCCCCAAGGGACUCCCCUUCCCUGGCUUUGCACAUUGAGGGGUCCCUGUAGACCCUGGUCCUCUUGGGGAAGGCCAGCUCGGCACCUGUCCCAUGCACCCACUUGUGAGGCAGCUCCCUGAGAGGGCUUCAUGGGUGCCCAGUGUGUGAGGGUGUCCCUGUGGGCAGGCGUGGGGCAGUGUGCAUAUAGGGUUUAGAGCCCAGAGGGUCAUGUGGGGGCUCCAGCCCUUGCUGGGGGUAGGAGUGUCACGGUCAAGGCCUGAGCAGCUUUGAUCCAGGGGGACACUGACUCAGACUCUCAUAGGAUGAUGGGACCCCCCCCCCCCAACCUUGUUUCAGAUCCUAGGAAAUCAGCCAAGCAAAAGCCCCGUCCGCCGCCCACCUCAGCGCAGUGCUCAGUCGUUCAGUCAUGUCCGGUCCUUUGCGACCUCAUGGACAGUGGCCUGCCAGGCUCCUCUGUCCAUGGGGUUUUCCAGGCAAGGAUACUGGAAUGGGUUGUCAUGCCCUCCUCCAGGGGAUCUUCCCGACCCAGGGAUUGAACCCGCGUGUCUUGCGUCUCCUGCAUAGGCACCCGAGCUCUUUACUACUGCGCCACCCACUCCUACACCAUCCUCCCCCAAAUCCAAAAUUUGGGGAAGAUAAAAGUUGCAAUAAUUAGAUGCUCAGGCUAAAAAUAGCCUUGUUCCCCCGCUUCCCAAAACUAAAAACAGCCAGGGCCUUUCCCUCCAAGGCUAAAAAUACCAGGCAGACCAGGAAGCCAGGUGGGUGGUCCUAUCUGGGGUCAGGGAGGUGAGGCAGACAGGCUUGGGGCCCAGGACAGGGUCUCCCAGCCAUGGCGUUCCUGACAUUGGGGCUGUGUCAUUCAUUCUUUGGGAGGAGGCCUGGACUUUUCAGCAUCCUUCGCCUCCACCCUCUACGCCCUGGUAUCCAGGAGCAUCCCCCCACCCCCGAGUUGUGACACCUAAAAGGCCUCCAGAUUUUGCCAAACAGCCUGUGGAGAGGGGCAAAAUCAUGGGCCCUCCCAGGUGAGUACCACUGCUCUAGAUCAAGGGUCUGCAGACUCCCUCUGUGAAGACCCAGGCAGCCAGUGUUGGAGACAUUGGUGGGCUUACCAGCUCUGUUGCAUAAACUUCUGCUGCCACUUUUUCUUAAUCCUUUGAAAGCAGCCAAGCUCAUUGACCAGGGGCAGUGCCCAGUCCAUAGGUGGUCAACUCCCACCCUGGCAGACCCACCCACCCUUUUUUGCCCCUGGUGAUGGAGGUCAGGGUGCCCUUGAAUGCACCCUCAUCAGCAGAGGGGCGAGUCUGGUGUUGUUUGUCCCUUUCACCUCCCUGCCCACACCCCCUGCCAUUGCCCUGUGCCCACUCUCACUGGUUGUCAAACACACUGGCCCCCCCGAACAGCCCCAGGGCCUUUGCACAAGCCAUGCUUGCUGCCUGGAAUGCUCUUCUCCUCCCUGGGCACCUCUGUGGCUCCUUCCUCACCUUCCCAGAGCUUUACUGACAUGUCUGGCCUUUCUCCAUUACUGAAUUUAACGUUGCAGAACACACACACAGACACACACACACUCCACUAGUCCAUCACGGGACUGACUUUUUUUAGUGUUUUUUAUGUCUGGCUCAUUCACAGCUGUCUCUCCACACCUCGAUCAGUGCCUCACGCAUAGUAGGUGCCUCUUUUAAGAGACGUGUAGGGACUUCCGUUGUGUUCCUGUGGUUAAGAUUCAGGCUUUCACUGCCAUGUUCCCAGAUUGGAUCCCUGGUCGGGGAAACUAAGGUCUCACAGGCUGUGCAGUGUGGCAAAUAAAUAAAAUAAAAGAGUCAUGUAGAAUUGCUGAAUAUUAUUUCUAAGCCCACAACCACCAUUGUGAGACUUGUGUCCCGUUUCCCCAGGGAAGAGGCAGAAUGCAGCGGAGGGACCGUGGUGGGGGCGGGGGGAGUUGCUUCGUCACACAGCCUAAAGUGGGCACAGCUGGGACUUAAACCCAGGACCCUGAGACCUGGAGUCUCUUCCCUCUUGCCCCGCUGAGCACCAUCUCCCCCGCCCUCUGGUCUCUGCCCCUUC
rnacentral:lncRNA from 1 species